UACGUAGGGUGCAAGCGUUGUCCGGAAUUAUUGGGCGUAAAGAGCUCGUAGGCGGUCUGUCGCGUCUGCUGUGAAAAUCCAGGGCUCAACCCUGGACCUGCAGUGGGUACGGGCAGACUAGAGUGCGGUAGGGGAGAUCGGAAUUCCUGGUGUAGCGGUGAAAUGCGCAGAUAUCAGGAGGAACACCGGUGGCGAAGGCGGAUCUCUGGGCCGUAA
rnacentral:rRNA from 1 species